UGGCCAGACUCCUACGGGAGGCAGCAGUGGGGAAUAUUGCACAAUGGGGGAAACCCUGAUGCAGCGACGCCGCGUGAGUGAAGAAGUAUUUCGGUAUGUAAAGCUCUAUCAGCAGGGAAGAAAUACUGACCUUACGGUCAGCAGACGGUACCUGACUAAGAAGCCCCGGCUAACUACGUGCCAGCAGCCGCGGUAAUACGUAGGGGGCAAGCGUUAUCCGGAUUUACUGGGUGUAAAGGGAGCGUAGGUGGCAUGGCAAGCCAGAAGUGAAAACCCGGGGCUUAACCCCUGGACUGCUCUGGAAACUGUCGUACUUGAGUGCAGGAGAGGUAAGUGGAAUUCCUAGUGUAGCGGUGAAAUGCGUAGAUAUUAGGAGGAACACCAGUGGCGAAGGCGGCUUACUGGACUGUAACUGACGUUGAGGCUCGAAAGCGUGGGGAGCAAACAGGAUUAGAUACCCGAGUA
rnacentral:rRNA from 1 species